rnacentral:rRNA from 1 species
CCUACGGGUGGCAGCAGUAGGGAAUAUUGCUCAAUGGGGGAAACCCUGAAGCAGCAACGCCGCGUGGAGGAUGAAGGUUUUCGGAUUGUAAACUCCUUUUGUUAGAGAAGAUAAUGACGGUAUCUAACGAAUAAGCACCGGCUAACUACGUGCCAGCAGCCGCGGUAAUACGGAGGGUGCAAGCAUUACUCGGAAUCACUGGGCGUAAAGAGCGCGUAGGCGGGAUAGCAAGUCAGAUGUGAAAUCCUAGGGCUUAACCAUAGAACUGCAUUUGAAACUGUUAUUCUAGAGUAUGGGAGAGGUAGGUGGAAUGCUUGGUGUAGGGGUAAAAUCCGUAGAGAUCAAGAGGAAUACUCAUUGCGAAGGCGACCUGCUAGAACAUAACUGACGCUGAUGCGCGAAAGCGUGGGGAGCAAACAGGAUUAGAUACCCUAGUAGUC